AAAUUAAAUGUUUUGCAUAUAAAUUUACCAAGGUUACUUUCAUUCACACCCUCUAAAUUUCAUAAAUAUUAUAAAUAUUCUGAUAAAUUUUAUUAUAUCAUAAUUAUUCUUCAAAAUACAUACUUUUUUAAAAAAAUAUCUUCGCCGUCAUAUUCCGUCUCUUUGAAUAAUGUUAAUCUUAGUUUAGAUAGUGGUAAAAUUUGAAAUGUUUAUUUUGACCGUGAGUUGAGAAAUUUUUGAAGAGUAUAUUAAUUAGAUGAUUUUAUUAUUUAACCCCU
rnacentral:lncRNA from 1 species